AUGAAUUAAAAAUAACAAGUUCUUUUAAAAUCCGCAAAAAUAUAGGGGAGGAGGGGGCUAGUUGUAACAAUUUUCAUAAAAUCAAAUAUAUCUUGACAGCGAUUUUCCCAAUUAUCACCAAUUAAACACUCAACGCUAGUUUAACUCUUUCUGAAUCAAAUUGAACUGAAAAAAAGUUAAAAAGUCUGGUAUUUUUUAAUCAACUAGCGUUUUAUCGAAAAAAGUGCAUUGUUACAACUUACCCCGCGCUUGGGGCUAGUUGCAACAUCUAUUGGGGCAGGUUGUAACAGUACGAUAAUUUGAAUUUUUUGGUAUAUUUCGAAGAAAAUAAGAACGUUACUCCUUUUGAAAGAUGUUGCUCGACUUAAGAACGUGGCUUCCGGUGUUCCUAAAUAUAAAUGUAGAUUUCUACGCAUAACAUUUUGAACCCAAUCUGGAGAAACUCUAUAAUUUUAAUACCAAUAAGAAGGAAGUUGCUUAGCACUGAGUUUCACGGCACAUUGGUAAAACAGUUUUCGCAUCUUCAUGGGAAUUAAUCCAAAAUAUAUUUCAGUUCAGUUAAGAAUAUACGAAGCCAUAUUACAACAUGUUACAACAAGUCCCAACGUUUUAUUACAACAUACCCCGUAGCACACUUUUGUAUAUUUAUUAAAAUAACUGUAAAAAUAUCUUCCUAAUCGUAAAAUUGUUAAGCAACAUCAAAGUAUGAUUAAAUUUAGAAAAGAAAUAAACACCGAAAGUUUCAUUUCCGUUUAAAACAAUAGCAAUAACCAAAAUUUUAUGAGUGUCAAAUUUUAUAUUAACUCAUCCAAUUGAAAAUCGUGCACAAAACUACUAUGUAUUUGCAACUAUGGGAGAAUGACUGGCUAGACGGUGUCAUUUGCAGGGCGAUAAGAGAAUAAGAUUGAGCCAGCUAAAUUAGUUAAAAACGGUCAAAUAACCUAUGAAAAAUCCGUGUUACUACUUACCCCUGUUACAACAAGCCCCUUGUUCCCCUACAGAGUGUCCCAUUUAAAUUAAAUAAGUAAAGGGUAUUUCGGGUGAAAACGGAAGUGGAGUAGUAACAAAAAAUAUGGCAACAUAUGCCUUUUGCGUCAGUGUACAUGCAUGCAAAGUUUCAUAAAUAUUGUUCUUUUCGUUUCAAAGAUAUUUGCUUGGUUCCAUACUUUAUCCCAACCCAGGAUAGCAUUAACGAACUUCUCAACCUUAACAUUCUAAGCACAUUGCUUAUUUCUUACCCACACGCUGAAUCUUAUUUUAAUCGAAAAAAUAUGAUGCUAAAGCCGGACUCAAACGACUCGUGUACUUGGCGAAUAAUCGUCACUUGCGUAUACUGGCAAUGCUGUGUGAGUGGGUUACUAGUACAAUUAUUAUACUAUUUGUCCAACACUAAUAAUAUUAAUGUUAAUACUACUAUUAAUUGACAAAGAAUUGUACUAGUAACCCUCCCAAAAGUAAUAGUAAGUAUCGCAAGUAACGAUUAUUCGCCAAGUACACGAGUCGUUUGAGCCCGGCGUAACACAAAUACAGUAAAAUGCGUACCCAAAGUUUACCACGGGAUCCUGCUCGAUUAUAACAAUUUUUCAACAAAUAAAAAAAUUACACCAAUUUAAUCUUUUGUUUAUACUAAAGCAGGUUCCCGUGGUAAAUUUUGGGUAAACUUUUAACUGCAGUGUUGUAGCAUCCAUAUACUUUCGAUUAAAACAAAAUUCAGCUUGUGAUAAAGAAUAUGAUAGUCAAUCUAAUAUUGAAAGAUCAGUAACAUUCAUGGAACUAGAAGAAAUAAGCAAUAUUUAUACGUUUUUUAAUAAGGUUUUAUAUGCUUUAAUUUUGUUUUUAAUAUCCAUUUGUCUCUUAGAUAUAAGAUACAUUGCCAAAUAUGAAUCAUAUAGUACAAAGAUCAAUAACUAGAGGUAACAUAAUAUAAUAUUUGAGAUCAUUCUCUGUAAUAAAUUGUUUAAAA